AUGGCGCUGCGCAGCCUGGUGGUCGCGCCCGUUUUUUCAUGUUGUGCGGAUAACCCGGCCCGGGAGCUCGACGGAAUCCGGAUCGAAUUCCACCAUGAUAAUUUGUUCUGCCUGCUUGAAAUGAAAUCGAAGCUCUCUCUACUAUUGCUUCCCAAUUCCGUCUCAG
rnacentral:ribozyme from 1 species